CGGAGCAUCAAGAAACCACCUGCACUUAAAAAGAAUGGCAAGUCGCCCCUUCAAGGGAGCUCAGAAGCGAGAAAUAUUUCAUCACCGAAGCCCAAACCGCAGAUCUGCUUUCAUUUCCGCCUCUGUCGGGAUGGGGGGGAGGGAGCGAACCUUUGGGGCAGCUCUUUCACAUCCUGUUUUGUUUUGUUUAAAAGCCCGACAGAACAGAAAAAAACACCCCCGGCGAAGCAGGUGAAACGCGUCCGGCGAUACAAUUCUGAGGGAUGCUGAAGAUCUUAACACAGGAUGUCUGCGGGUCUUAAUGUGCUGAGAGAGCUGAACUGUGAUUUUUCUUCAGGAGAUCUAGAGAAGAGAAGGUUCUGGAUGGAGUAGCUGUAGAGGAAUCAUUGUGCU